GACCCUGAACACGGCCAUGAAGAACGUGUGUGAGAUCCUCACCUCUGACCCAGAGGGUGGCCCCGCUCGCAUUCCCUUUGAGACGUUUGCCUACAUUUACCAGUACUUGUCUGCAUUGGAUCCAGAAUUCUCGGCCGUGGAGACCGAGACCUAUCUUGCCAAUUUAAGAGACACGUCAGAAUCUAGAAAGAAUGGCAUGAUAGGACUUUCGGACUUCGUCAUUGGAAAAAAGCCAGUAUAGGAAGCCUUGAAGAGAAAGCUCUGAAGAGUAGAGCCUUAAUGCAGAGAGGAACACGUUUAAUGUUGAAGCUUUUGCGAAACCUUGGCGCCAAAUACAGCUUGUCAUUACCUUG
rnacentral:lncRNA from 1 species